UGGGGAAUCUUAGACAAUGGGGGCAACCCUGAUCUAGCCAUGCCGCGUGAGUGAAGAAGGCCUUAGGGUUGUAAAGCUCUUUCACCUGUGAGGAUAAUGACAGUAGCAGGAUAAGAAGGACCGGCUAACUCCGUGCCAGCAGCCGCGGUAAGACGGAGGGUCCUAGCGUUGUUCGGAAUGACUGGGCGUAAAGAGUACGUAGGCGGUUUAGUUAGUUAGAUGUGAAAGCCCAGGGCUUAACCUUGGAACUGCAUUUAAUACUGCUAAACUUGAGAUCGGAAGAGGAAAGCGGAAUUCCUAGUGUAGAGGUGAAAUUCGUAGAUAUUAGGAGGAACAUCAGAGGCGAAGGCGGCUUUCUGGUCCGAUACUGACGCUGAGGUACGAAAGCGUGGGGAGCAAA
rnacentral:rRNA from 1 species